rnacentral:misc_RNA from 1 species
GAUGAAGAACGUAGCGAAAUGCGAUAAGUAAUGUGAAUUGCAGAAUUCAGUGAAUCAUCGAAUCUUUGAACGCAUCUUGCGCUCCUUGGUAUUCUGAGGAGCAUGCCUGUUUGAGUGUCAUUAAAUUCUCAACCGCACUGACUUUGAAUUGGUGUGGCUUGGAUUUGGGGGGAAAAUUGUUGUGGGCUUUUUUGUAUAGUCUGCUCCCCUGAAAUUGAUUAGCGGUACCUUUGUGGAACUGUCUACAGGUGUGAUAAUUAUCUACAUCCUAGACAUCUGCUGGAAUGCUGCUUUCUAAACCUUACUUGUAUUGACAAUCUUGACCUCAAGUCAGGUAGGACUACCCGCUGAACUUAAGCAUAUCAAUAAGCGGAGGA